CAGCAUACUGCCGUGAAUACGUUCCCGGGCCUUGUACACACCGCCCGUCACACCAUGAGAGUUGGGGAUACCCGAAGCCUGUGAGCUAACUGUAAAGAGGCAGCAGUCGAAGGUAGAAUCAAUGAUUGGGGUGAAGUCGUAACAAGGUACC
rnacentral:rRNA from 1 species